rnacentral:rRNA from 1 species
UACAGAGACUGCAAGCGUUAUUCGGAUUCACUGGGCGUAAAGGGUGCGCAGGCGGCCAAGUGUGUCAGGUGUGAAAUCCCGGAGCUUAACUCCGGAACUGCGCCUGAAACUACUUGGCUAGAGCAUUGGAGAGGGAAGUGGAAUUCACGGUGUAGCAGUGAAAUGCGUAGAUAUCGUGAGGAACACCAGAGGCGAAGGCGACUUCCUGGACAAUUGCUGACGCUCAGGCACGAAAAGCGUGGGGGAGCCAAAGGG